GGAAAGUUGUUUUUUUUUUUUUUUCCCCUUUUUUAUGCUCUGUGUGUUAUGUGUCAAGGUUUUAGAUGUGAGUCCUUCAAAAUUGUCAGACUUCAUUUCCCUCCAGCUGUUUUGGAGCUGAUUUUCCAACUUCUUCCACAAGGAACUUGCCUGGAACUCUUCUCUCUACUUGGACUGUGCAGUCAGAAGAAAACAACAUUUCUGGACAGGGCAGUGUGGAGAAAUCCUAAGAGAAAUAGCAUAAGAGCAUUUUUGGAAUAUAUCCCGGAAAAGAUAACUUUCUACACAUCUGUAGAGAUUCGCCUGGUUAAGUAUGGGCCAGUGUACUAGAGGAUGGAAAGAAAAAAAAGAAGGCUGGCAACUGAAUUGAGAAAUGGAGGUAUUGAGAGAACCAUGCAAUAAUAAGAGGUCAUAAUCUAAUUAUCAAUGAAAUCUUGCUUCAGCCCUUGUUUUACAAGUAAGAAGUGUAAAUUGUCUGAAACAACAGCUUAAAGACAGAUUCAGGUUUCUGAAUAAUCAAUUGGUAAUGUCAGGAAAGUGUCCACAAAGCUCCAACAGUGGGGUGAGGAAUGACACCUUUACAAAAAAGAGUGUGCUCUUUGUGCCACAUCUUAUCAGGUUGGAAGAUUUAAACUUUUGUUUUUUUUAAGAUUUUAUUUAUUUAUUUAACAGAGAGAGAUCACAAGUAGGCAGAGAGGCAGACAGAAGGGGAAGCAGGCAGAGGGGGAGACCGAG
rnacentral:lncRNA from 1 species